AUUAUAAACAUAUAUCAUAUAUAUAUACACAAAUAUGUACGCCGGCUCAACCACCGGUACCGCCACCAGCUUCACCACCGACACCUCCUGAUACUACGCCAGAAGCGGCGACUCGAUUUGUUUCUGGAGCCACCGGUGGUGUUAUGGAUGAAGCAACGCUUCACGCCUCCUCUGCCGUCACGCUUCUUCUUAUCUUCAAUCUUCAAGCCGGCUCAUCUCACUAGUCACCGCCUCUGCUACCUCCUCCUCCAUCAAUCUCCUCUGCCUCCUCCACCUUCCUUUACCAAAAUAAAUAAACUCAGAUUCAACGCACAGAAGAGAGAAGGAGAGAGAGAGAGAGAGAGAGAGAGAGAGAGAGAGAGAGAGAGAGAGAGAGAGAGAGAGAGAGAGAGAGAGAGAGAGAGAGAGAGAGAGAGAGAGAGAGAGAGAGAGAGAGAGAGAGAGAGAGAGAGAGAGAGAGAGAGAGAGAGAGAGAGAGAGAGAGAGAGAGAGAGAGAGAGAGAGACGCUACUUGUGGUGGUGGUGAACAACGCGACGGUCGUUGUUAAACUUCGUGUUGUAGAUGGAGAAGAAGAAGGCUGU
rnacentral:lncRNA from 1 species